rnacentral:rRNA from 1 species
AAGUCGUAACAAGGUCUCUGUAGGUGAACCUGUGAGUAUCUUCUGAACCUCUGAUUAUGUAACAUAUUACUAACAUUAUAAUAGGCGGAGGGAUCAUUA